UUUCAACAAUUACAGUCAGGGCAGUCUUCUAAUUGUAUCAGCAACAUAUGCUGCACCGUGGACCACCGGGUCAAGAACUCCAGCUUGGAAAAGUACCUUUACCAUGCACUAUGCAAUGACAGCUACCCAAAUGCUAAGAAUAACAGCCGCCGAUAACUCCGACCCUGAGCUCCAUCCGUCCGCUGCCCCCUACCCCGUCCGCCUGCCCCGGAGUCGCAGCCGUGGAUAGCCCCAUCAACCGCAACCUUCACCAGCCACACACAAACCUUCCGAAGACAAAUUCCAGUGAGCGACGCAUUUGUGGGAUAAAAAAAAUCUCGGUAGCCGUGUCAUUCCCGUCCGCUGCACUUUCCGGUGGUGGAUCUUGAUUCAGGCGGCACAUCGUUUGUUUGAUCUGUUCAUUGACAUGAUCUUAUCUCCUCCCAUCUCUUGGCUUUUAUAUCAAGGUUCCUAUUUGCUGUUGAAAUCUCAGAAGAAAUUUAUGGAAGGUUUGUCUAUCAUUUCCAAUUUAUAUUCGCAGGUUAGUCUUCCCCAAAACUGACAAUUUCUGCAAUUAUUUUGGGCUGCUUUGGUGGUGAGACUGAAGGCAGUAUUCCAUUUUCGCCAAACAAAGCCAGCGCUACCUGUUUCUGAAUUGCAUCGGGGAGGGGCGAGUGGCAAGAUAUAUUGCCUUAGGAAGCAGAACUUUUGUGGCUUUUCCGGAAGGAUUUGCUGCAUGAGUUGCUUUUAUUUACAUAUAGUUUGUGUGAACAAGUCAGUCUAAUAAUCCCAAUAUGGUGACCAAUAGCAUGCUAACUUCUUGCAGGAUCAGCUGAAACAGCAAGGCUUGGGCAAGCAAAAGAAGAGACAGAGAGAGAUAGCCGAGCAUCAUGCCAAACGGAGGCCGAUUUCCAAGGAAGCUCACUAAGACCAGCAGUGACUCUGGCGCAAACGUCAAACGCCUUGAGCAAGAGACGAACAUAAAGAUCGAACAGCUGAAGCAGCAGGUAGCAAACAUCUCUCUAGAGGUGAUUCAGAUGCUUCUGAGGUGCUGGAACAUGCUUCCGUUUUCCUAACUCGUAUAGCAGAAUCGUUUGCUUCAUCUCCAGAGAAACUGGAUCAAUUGUGCAACCAUGGAUAGGCUGCACAACCUCCUAGCUUAAUACUCCCUCCGCCCAAAAUAAGUGUCUCAACUUUGUACUAACUUUAGUACAAUUAGUACAAAGUUGUACUAAGCUUAUGACACUUAUUUGGGACCGAGGGAGUAGUUGUUAGCAACUGAGCGGGACAAGCAUCACUGGGGAGUAAUUGUUCUGUCAAUAUGUGCAAGUGGAUCUUCAAUGGCAGCUAAAACUCUCCUCCUCCAUGGAAUUAGUGGCACACUUAAGAUAUCCUUUCAGGUUCUGGUUUGGUUGCUGGUACAACUGUAUCCCCCACUAGGCCAGCUGAUCAGGUACAUCAACAAGAAGUUCAGGAAUAAUUACAGGGCGACGAUCCUAGGAUCCCCCCCCCCCCGCCGGCCUCCGACUC